GAAGCUGGCUGCGCUCCAGCAGUCAGCGGUGUAUACUGGCGCUGGGGUCAACGCCCGAGAUGCCGCCUGGACUCCAGGGGAGGGCCAGCCAGGACACUUGGGAGUGGGAAACUCUUGCUUGCGCCCCUGGGUCCUCCAGUGCCUUGAAGCACAGCACCUUCCCCUGGACGAGGACCCAGGGGGUAGCAGAUCUCCGCCCUGCCUCAGGGCACAGGCGGAGGAGGGGGUGGUGGACCCCUUGUCAGCUCCAACCAACCAACCGUCCAGGGUUGGAGGUGAGGGCGGGGCUCGCAGGGCGCCGCUCCCACCUCCCUGCGCCCAGGAGGCCACUUGGCUGAGAUGCACCCGGAGCCUCCCAGGCGCCUGCUUCAGGCACCAGGUGUCACGCGCGAGCCCAGAGACUGUUGGCCUGGGAAGGGAGGGGAAGACCUUGCUCGCAUGCUGCCCUGGAGUCCCCAACUCCAUCCAUUCCUUACUGCCAGGGAAUAGGGGGUUCAUCACUCCUGGGUGGGCCAGAGCUGGGGUGCACUCGCCUGCCCGGCAGCGACCGGGGCGGGGCUGCUCACAGCUUGGAAACCCUGGCCAGGCAGUCCAGGGAACCGGCACCCAACCUAGGGUCUUCGCAGCCGAACUUGGAAAGAGUGGGGGAGGUGCGGAGGAAUAGCUUUGUUAGAGCUGAAACGUGAUGCAUCAUAACUUGGGUUUUCUUUCAUAAUAAGGAUGAUUGCUUAUUUGUAUUUUCCAAUCUAACGCAUGGAGAGGCCUGGCCUUGACCGCACAAGUUCAGGAUGUGCCCAGCCUGAGAUCCCUUCCCCGCCCCCGCUGCCCCCGGCCUGGUUCACCCACCUCCCAUCUAUCAUUUAUCUUUGUUACAAAAGGGGAACAAAAAAAAAAGAUGAGAAGGCUGCAUCCUUUCAAUUUUUAAGUGACCACAGUGGGCCUGGCUGGAGCCACAGGCAGAAGUAUUUUUAGCCAAGAUCUUUUAUCUUCAGAGGCAAAUGACCUGGGGCCUAUGGAGGGUGAAGCCGCUGGGCAGUGGCUGUGCUGGCAAACACCGGCUGAGUCCAGACCUCCUUCCUCUUUGAGCUCGUCUGGGAGGCCCUGGGUCUGGGAGGCCCUGGGUCUGGGAGAAUCCCCUGGGUUUCCCCUAAGUUAGCUUAUGGUCCAUUUGGGCUAGGAAAAAAGGCAUCGUUGCUUACAGUAGUGGAGGUGACGCCUUAAGGGUCUAGAGAGUAGAGCUUAGUGGCUCAGAAGAGCCCAGGGCUCCUGGCUCAGUCUUCCACCAGCUGUGUGUCUUUGGGAAAGCUACUUUACCUCUCUGUGCCUCAUUUCGUUCACCUGUACAAUGACAGUUUCAGCAGUAGUUCUAGCCUCAGAGAGUUUUGGUGAGAAUUAAAUAAAGCAAUGAACACUUAGAACAGGGUCUGUCACGUGGCAAGUGCCUGAAUUAUGUUAGUUUUUCUUCUUCUCCUCCUCCUUCUUUCUUCAUUUUUUUUCAAAUAGAUUGCUUUAAUUUUUGAGUCUUAUAAAACAGGUGGGAUAGGAAAGGCAGGUAGCUUGCCUUGCACACAUGCACUUCCUUUUAAGUAAACAACAGGAGCCUCAAGCCCUCUACGCUGAAGCUGGCCUCACCUCUCCCAAGUUCCAAGGAGGAUCAGGGACAGGCUGCCCACUGGCUGGGACGUAGAUUGGUGACAUUUGACUUGCUGUCCCGACAAGUGCUAUGCUCUGAAAUUAAGUUUUUGCAGCAAUUGUGCGUUUCCUCUGACCGGAAGAAGAGCCUAGCAGGCCUUCAACUCCUCAGCCUCCCAGACUGAAAACAUGGCCUUAGUAAUAUUUUUUUUUCUAUUGGAAAACACUCCUUUAAUACACAGACUAUUUUGAAAAUACAGGAAUUAAAGAAUAUUAGAAGUGGCUUUAUCAUUUAUCCUAUGAUUCACCCAUUAUAAUGACUGUGUUUAAAUAUAAACUUUUGUGAUUUUUUUUUGUAGCGGUAUAAACACAACUGUGGUCACUCAAUGUCCAUUUAUGAAACCCCCCUCUGAAUGUAGGAAUAACCACUCCGAUCAAGUGUUUUAAAUUUUACUUUUUAUUUUGUUGUGGUAAGAACACAACAUGAGAUCUACCCUCUUUGUAGAUUUUAUAUCAUUUAGGAUUGCUGACUGUGAGCACAAUGUCGUGCAGUAGAUCCCCAAAACUUAUUUAUCUUUACUGUUAGGAACCCCACGUAUAGGAGGUCUCUACAGUAGUCCGACUCAUCAAAGCGGAGAGCAGAGGGUGGUGGCCAGGGCCUGGGCGGAGGGGGAGUCGGGAUUUGCUCCACAACAGGUAUGAAGUUUCAGCAACAUCUUAGUAAACCGUGCUCCUCUCAGAACACAGUCUGUGGCAUCGCCCCGUGGCCCCAGAGCUUUCCGCUUGGAAACCAAGCUGGAACUUGGGUCUGAGCAGGUUUCUCCUCCUGGAUGACCCAUUCCGCCCUAUUUUCUCUUCAUGGUAAUUGAUGCUAUUUUUUUUAUCUCCUUUUGCAAGGUCUGAGCACAGGUCUUCUAGACAUCCGCAUGUCUCUGAUGACUUAAAAAAAAUAGAUUUAGUCCUUUUAGCUCAAGCCAUACCAAGCCAUAAUAUUUUAUCAGAGUCCUUUCAGAUAUAUAUUUUUUUUAUAUUCAGAAAAUUGGGUCCGCUCUGUAUAUAUAUGCCUGACAUUUCACCUUUCCAAAAAGUAGACCAUUUUGUUUGCAUCCUUUAAGCCGAUGUAUGGAAUAAUGAACAUGUUCCAAGAGGGAAAUCGUAUCUGACACAGAAAAUACUUUGGGGACCUGGCAGUUUCCCAGUGGCGUGUAAGGAGACUAUUGAAAUCUGAGCACAUUUUCUCUGAAGGACACAGGGCAGCUCGUCCUGCCUUUGCCACCCAGCAUGGGAGUUCCCCCGCAAGCACAGGACACAGAUUAAUACUGGCUGACACUUCUACAAUCAUCCCUUAAUCUGUCACCUCCACAUUCGCCCACAUAGUUGUACCAAAGACCUCAAACACAGAGACGAUGUUUUUAAAGAAGCCAUGAGGCUCUUCCCAAUGUCUACCUCCAUUAUUUAAAAUAUUGCCUCAAGGCACAAGUAUAAAUAUUAAAACUUUAAUUAAAGAAUCAAUCAGCGAUAGAACUUCAGAAUGAGGGGACCCAGUGCUUUCAGAUGAUGUCAACAGUGAAUACAGCUGGGAUGGGUUGCAAGGCUGGGGGUUGUUAGGAAAAAUGACAGGUGGAGUUGUAAGCAGAGACAACUGUCCUUACGCUUUGUAGUCACUCCGAGCACCACUGUUCACUGCACUGGCUUGUCCGCGGUCACUAGACACAGACGUGGGUGACUGCGGCCGGCUCCUCCAGAAGGGGCUGUCAUCUUAGGGGAAGGGGUGGCUAGCUCAAUAAACAUUUAUUCUGAACACACGGCACGUUAGACGCGUGCUAGAUGAACAAGGCAGAGGAGAACUUUGCCUUCUCAGAGUCCCUAUUGUCACAGAGGAACCCAGGCACAGGCAAGAUAUGGAAAUAUAUUUCUAGAAGGAUAAUGGCAAAGGUUACAAAAAUGACAACAUGGCGAUAUGAUAGCGACUUGGCGGGUGGGGGGGCGGUUUCAAGGAGGAGAGAUGUGAUCCGAGACCCACGUGAAAAGAAGUAGCUGACAUGCACGUAUCACCCACGCGGACACCUGUCCUGAUGGAGCCGCCUCCUAGGGCCGUCUUCUGCAUGAAGCGCGGUUCAGAGACAGGGGAAACACGUGCAAAGGCCUGGAGGUGGUUGCAGUGAUAGAAUUAUACAGAUGAAGUCCUGUAGCCCCUUGAGGCCCAAGUAGGAGUUGGAUUUUAUUCUAAGGGGCAGCCAUUGGAAGGUUUUAUACAGAGAAAUGCCAUGCUAUGUUUAUGGCUUCAUCAUUAUGGGAAAAUUGUUAGGUGUUUUCGAGACGAAUAGAUCAACAAGCACCCCUUCCUGGCCAGCCAGCUCUUUCCUCAAAGUUCCAAGUCAUCUGCGCAACCAGAUUUGGUCUGAGGACUUAGUGGCAUCUGCAGAGGUAAGCCUCAUAACAUCUAAAAGAUCAAACUUUAUAUCUCACCCCCCUCCUUUGUGGGCUUAGACCAAAAUUUUCCGUUCAGGAAGAGAGAUUAGUUUAUAGGGAAAACGAGGCUUGUUUCUCAGUAAAGCUCGUGGCGUGUGGGAGGAAGACCCCGGGAGGAGGCAUCUGGAUGCAUUAGCCUACUUAGCUGUGCGUUCUCUGGGGCUUCCCUUCAAAGAGGCAGCACCCCCUCCCACAUCCUUUCCAUGUCUUGCCUGCCACCUCUCCUGGGAGUCCCUGAGAGCAGCUGUGCAUAGAUCCUCCUCGUUGAUCGUCAGCCCAGGUAGGCUCCCUUUCGAAGUGUGGCCACGGUAGGUGGCCUUGGUAGGUGUGGGCCAGGCGUGGGCAGAUACUGACAUGAGAGAGAGGUGGCUUGCCUAGGGAGGUCUCUGAGUCUGUCUUCAGAAGCUCCCCUGGCCUUGGAAGGUGGAGAUACAGUUUGAUGGGCAGUUUGGACAUCUGGACAAUCCGACUUUCCUCCCACGUCGUCCCUGGAGUCUGUCUCUUUAUCUGCAAUCCUGGAACUCCGUUACUGCCCUUUCUAUAUGCCAGGAUGAUGCUAAUGAGUUCACAUGGCUUGGACACUUCCUACACAGCACAAGCUGUGCCCGGCACUCUACCUACGUGGCUGUGGACUGUGCUGAGUUGUUCUGGCACCUGCCCAUCUCCCCCACCUCCCACCCGUUCACUUUGCUCAUGCCCCACUCAUCCUCCAGGUUGCAGCUCCAGAGUCCCAGGCUCAGGGAAACCCUCCCUGCUUCCCUGUGUGGAUUUUCCUUCUCUACCGUCAUCCCAAGAACAAUUUACCAUUACUGCAGUGACUGUCGGUUUGAUCCUUUUUCUCUCACUCCACUGGACGGUGAACUCCAGGCGGAUCAUGCACACACCUGCUCGGAUGUCACUGGAUGGCUAGCAUGUAGCGCAGUGCGCGGCACAGAGCACGGGCUCCAAGUGGAAAUAGCAAGUGAUCCCGUCUGCUGUUUCCGGCAGGCCUUCAGGUUCUUUCUUUCAUCAAAUACCCAUUUUGCAGAUAGAUAGUGAAGUGCAUGUGGCAUUAAGCCGUUUAUCCAAGGAUAUCAUGGCAGGUCUGGGACACACCCAGGAGGUUGACCCUGGCAGUCUGAGCACACAGCCCACGGUGCUAAUCACUGCACACCCGGGCUCUUUUGUUGCCUUCGCGGGAGGUGGGAGGCCACGUGUGCAGUGGUGAGGGGGGGUCUUGCUGCUGAACUUGAGUUGCUGUGACAUGUGGUGCUGAGCCCAUGAGAGCCACACAAGGAAAACAAGGCCCUUGUUUCUUUUACUUCAUCAUCACUUUAUCAUUACUGCAAUCUGGCCCUUGUUUUGCUGUUUCUCUGCCUGGAGCCCUGAGGUCCUGGGCUGCCCAGAGCAUCUCUGGCCCCCGUCUCUAGGCUCAUGCUCUGAGUAUAAUUUUGAAGGGGGUACUCGGGCCUCCUGUCUGGCUGCAGGCAGUCCUUGGGCAUGGUGCACUCAAGGCUGGGGCUGCUCUGGGAACUGCUCAGCGUACGGCGUGCAAGCUCGCCGUCUGGUCACUGUCACCUGAGUCCGCUUCCCUCUCCACGUCUUCUGAGAACAAAAUCAGACCUUUGCCGGCAUCAUAGAGGCCCUUGUGCAGUCACAUUGCUCAUUGCUAGUUCUGUCUUUCCUCGAGAUGCCGAUGUCUCUUUUCUGUGCAUUUUAGAAUACGGAUUAUCAGAGAUGAGGGUGUGGACUUAAGGUUUUCAAAAUCGUCUUCUCAGUGUCAUCAGCAGGGCCCUCAUAGCCACCACGUUUUGGGAUCUCCAACUGUGCUCUCUUAACUCUUCGUUGCAAACCCUUUAUUAUGCCCAUUUUACAGAUGGGAGAACAGAGGCCCGGUGAUUAAGUGGCAAAGGCAGAGUGCAGGCUCGACUAGUUGCUUCCAGAGUCCUUUUGCUUCCCUCCCCUGCCCUGUGCUGAGAGGAUCUGUUGGCUACAAGAGGAAGUAGCAGAGUGGCUGUGAGAAGGCAGGAGGCAGUGUAGUGCGGUGGUUGAAAUUCCAGAAUGAGACUGUCUGGCUUGAGACCCCAGGUCCCUCAGAUUCUGGCUCCAUAACCUUUGGCUUUCCUCAACCUCUCUGCACCUCAGUCUGCCCCAUCAAUGGGGAUAAUAUUCCUAUGUUCUAGGGUCGGCCGGAUGAUUAAUCAGCCUUGCAAAUCAUUUUAGCAAAGCGCCUGGUAUAUAGUGUGUGUUCCGUGUGUGCGGGAGUCGUGGUGCUCGCGCUGAUGAUCAUCAUUAAUAUUAUCAUUUUAUAAUAAUGACAUCAUUAUUAUCGUUGUUUGUGGCUGGAAUCUCACAAUCCCUCUAGGCAGCAGAAUUGGCUCCAGAACGUGAUUCCUACGUUUUCCUCUUGACUCCAAGCGAGGUGAUAAAUUGAGAGUGAACGCGGAGAGCCUAGCCUCGCUGCGAAUGUGCGGGCAGAGAGCUGACAAACCCGAGUGCCCGUGUGCAGUUCCGCCUGCAGAGGGCUGCUGACAGCAGCCAUAUGCAUGGGCCCUGAUUGAUUGGCAGAGAGAAACACUAAUUUAUUAGACUCGUUAUGAAAAGUGACGGAGCAGGGUACUGAGAGGGCUGAGUCAGCACCGGGAGCCCUGGCCAGAUCCCCAGGGCUGCGAGCUGGGGGUUCGCUCCCCUCGGGACCAGCCCCCUGUCUGGAUUCUGGGCUCACUGCCUGUGUCCCGGAGUGGGCCUCCCGCUCACGUGCGUGGCCUGGCUCACUGUCGCGGCGCCGUGAAGAACGCGUCUUCCCCUUCAGCAUGCUUGGAAAGCGGGGUCCAGCUCAGGCUGCUGCUGACUGCAGAGGCCGAUGGGAUGGAGGAGAGUGCGCGUGCAGGAACUCCAAAAGGGAUGGACGACUAGGGAAAUUUCAGGAGUUGCCUGGGGAAGAAUAGAGAGCAUGGGUUUACCUCUCUUUAAAAACAUGAGGUCUUCAUGGGAGGGUUUCUUGUUUCUGAUUUUGGGAGGUCGGUCAGUCUGAACGGCAGCAGGUAGGAUGCUGGUUAAAUGAGAAGAGCUUGCGUUUAAGGUGAUGCACACUAGCCUAAGCUACUGGAGUUAUUUUGGACUCAGGAAAGCUUUGAGAAGACCAAACUCCCCGAGAGCCAAGGUGCGGGAGGACAAAGGCUGGAACCCGACACACCUCCCUUGCGGGUCCAGAUUCUUCGAUUUUCCAGCUGUGUGACCUUGGGCAAGUUUCUGCCCCUCUCUGAGCCUCCAUUUCCUCAUCUCUCCCAAGGCAGAUGAUUCUGCCUCCCUGUCCAAGGACUGGUGCUCCAGAGUGAGUUGGAUCAAGCAGCAAUCACAGGGACUUCUCAGAGCAGUCACUCCUUGCCUGUUUAUUUAUCUUGCGAUGUUCAGAAAAGGGCUGCUGGUUCCAAGAGUCUUUGAUACAAAAGGUUUAGUAGUUAGCGUGCCUGUGGGUCUUAGAAAGAUAUUUUUGUUUCCUAGUGAAUUUUGUUCAUUUCACACAUGACACUUGUAUAGGUUUUGAUUGUGUGAAUUUAAAAUAACCUUUGAAAAUACUUAAUGAGAUUGAAGAACCAUCCACCUCCCCCCGUAAACUUAGUUCUAUUGAAUUGUGGUUUGGUGCUCUCUGCUUAUCAUGAGAAAUACUGUACGAGAGCCAUUUGACCCCAGAUUUUAAAAAAAUAGAUUUUGUUUUUAUUUAUGUGCACAGAGAAAAAGAAUAGACCAUUUAGAUGAAAGUUUAAGAGUUGUUACAGUGGGGCCUAACACUUGAAGUAAAAAGAAAUGUGAUGUUAUUGGAAACAAAUAUGGGGGCCUAAAAAAGCACACACACACUGUGCAGAGUUUGCACUCCCAGCUCUUAUUGGCUGUGAUGAUAUUUUGGGGGCUCUGUGGGCUGUUGCUGUUAUCUCAGGUUUCAGGAUCAGAAAGGGCUUGUCCUUUUGGAGGCAGUAAUUGGUGUGUAUGUGCCAGACACUCCAAAUGAAAUAACUAUUCGUGUUUCCUUUUCACAAAGACUGCCAGGAAGCUCAGAGCUGAUUUCUCAGUCCAGGCAUGGCAGCAAGUAAGAUUUGAUAGCAUGGACUUUGCAUAUUGACCUCACUUUCGACUCUAUUUUACUUCCUUACCCUCAGUUUACUUUUCACUUCUUAUUGGGAUUUAUGUUACUGUGUUUCCUUUUAGAAAAUCUUGGCCAGGUACAAUGGCUCACACUUGUGACCCAAGCACUUUGGGAGGCCUAAGUGGGGAGGAUCUCUUGAACCCAGGAGUUUGAGACCAGCCUGGGCAACAUAGCGAGACCUUGUCUCUACAAAAAAUAAAAUUUCCCUACCUUUGUAAUAUUUAAUAUUAAAUAUGUGAGUAAUAUCAAGGUAUAAAAGAUAGGUAGAAAUUGGAAGGCACAAAUAAACUUCGGCCCUUUAAAAUACCAGAGACCAUGGAAAAUAAGACAAUAUAGAUCAGUGCUUAGUGUCUUGGGCUAUACUAGACCUGGAGUAAGAGGAAUAUGAUUUUGAGUCCCGGCAGUGUUCAUGGACACUUUUUCUUGUUUUUCCCUAUAUUUUUUUUUUCUCCUGGAGCACUACCUAUGCUAUAUAGACUCACUUUUACUGGGUCCUUCAUUGCCUUUUCCAUGCAUUCAGCAAACGCAUUCCAGCCCGCGCUUUGGGCCAGGCACUGUGUGAGUCUCCGGUGCAGUCGCACUGGGAUGUUGUCCACCAAGAGUGACGGCUUCUCUGCUUCGGGAAGCUUGUGCUAUAGGGGAGAGCCCGGCACAAAUUAUGACAGCAGAGAGAAGGACAAUAGAAUUUCCCAGUCAUAGGUAUUAAGAUGGGAACAAAAUGGGG